rnacentral:rRNA from 1 species
AGUGAACGCCGGCGGUAGGCCUAACACAUGCAAGUCGAACGGCAGCACAGGAGAGCUUGCUCUCUGGGUGGCGAGUGGCGGACGGGUGAGGAAUACAUCGGAAUCUACCUUUUCGUGGGGGAUAACGUAGGGAAACUUACGCUAAUACCGCAUACGACCUACGGGUGAAAGUGGGGGACCGCAAGGCCUCACGCGAUUAGAUGAGCCGAUGUCCGAUUAGCUAGUUGGCGGGGUAAUGGCCCACCAAGGCGACGAUCGGUAGCUGGUCUGAGAGGAUGAUAAGCCAAACUGGAACUGAGACACGGUCCAGACUCCUACGGGAGGCAGAAGUGGGGAAUAUUGGACAAUGGGCGCAAGCCUGAUCCAGCCAUACCGCGUGGGUGAAGAAGGCCUUCGGGUUGUAAAGCCCUCUUGUUGGGAAAGAAAUCCUGUCGAUUAAUACUCGGUGGGGAUGACGGUACCCAAAGAAUAAGCACCGGCUAACUUCGUGCCAGCCGCCGCCGUAAAAC